ACUCCAGUUGACGCUUGUUGAAGUUGGACACUCCGAGAGAUUUUACCAGCCCAGCAUCUUUACAAGAUUCCAAAGCCUUCACAGGAGGUUAAAACAAGCCAGAAGGGAGUAAAUAAAACUUUGAACUUUGAACAAAAUGUUAUAGGUUUAUACACACACAACACAGGAUGCCGCCCAAGGCUUAUCUAAGUGCGGUAAACAUUGACUUGCAUCAGGAAUUGCUAUAGUCAAGACGGUCGUACCAGUUCUGGCGGAUGGAAGGUGUUCCACAGCUGCAUGAACAUGUCCAGAUAGAAAAAGCUUGUCCCACUUCAUGUUCGUUGAAAUAAACCAAAGCCCCAUCAAUGUGUCUGUACCCUGUUUCAAUAGCCACUUUCACCGACUCGUAUGCAGUUCCUUUAGGAGUCUAUUGUAAAAAUACACUUUAUGAAUGAGUAUGGUUGUAAAAAUAAAACAUAGUUACACACAGUGAAAAGUGUAAAUCUUUGAAGUUUAUUUCCUGUGUAAUGUGUCUUACUGUGCGGGGAUCUCCAUAUGUUCCCAGUCCAAUCAAAGGUAUGCUGUUCCCAUCAUUCAUAGGAACGGAGUGACUCUCAGCUGUCAAAUCCA